UGGGUGGGGGAAGGCGAUGCUCGGGUUUUGAUUCAGCCUAACAGGAUUACCUGCUAAUCUGGCACUUUGCUUUCGCUGCACCAAUGAUAUUGUUGAGAAAAGGCUUCUCUAAAACCACUCCUAAUCCAACCCACCCAGCAGGGACCCUCAUCCUCCUUUCAGGCCCUGUCCUUUGGAAUGCAAAAGGCUUGCAAAUGCUUUUGAUGCUCACCCAGGAGCUACAUGACAUAGAAUGGAGCGGAGUUCCUCCGAGGUCAGCCAGGGCAGAGUCUUCUGGGAGCAAUGCGGCUUCACGGUGAUAUCCCUACUAGCCCGACGGCCACAAUGGCUUGCGGGGAACCCCCACUGGAGCAGGACACUGCCUGAAGCAAGAACAUUGGAUAGCAGCCGGUGGGCUAAGUAUCAGUUGCUUUUGUGUUUCACGGAAAUGGCCGCAGCCCCGUGGGGCUUCGGGGAAGCCGCCCGCAGCUGUCAAAGCAGAGAGAGGAGGAUGCCACACAGGGCCGGAAGGAGAGAGCAAUUCAGCCCCUCGGAUGGAGCGGAGCUCAGCUGCAAAUGGGGGUGCCCGUUGGCUGAGGGUAACCGAGGACAAAAGCGGAACCUUGAAGAAAAGGGGGAGUAACGAGAAGAAGCUGAAAACUGAAUAAACAGUUCUAUGGAAGAAACCCCAAAUUGUAACUCCAAGUCGCUGGGUACUUACAGAGUUGCUGCCACCUGCCACCAGGAAUGAUAGAUAAUCAUGUUCUAAAAGAGCUGGUCAACUUAUUUAUCUACACAACAAAAGCAGGACAAAUAUCAUAUGCCCAAUGAUGGAAAGAAGGAGAAGUUCCAACAAAGGAAGAUUGGCUUUUGAUGGAGGGUGUGGAACCCACAGGAUUAACAGCAAAAAUUAGAGACCAAAAUGACGAGAAAUUCCUUGAGGACUGGAAACUUUUAUUGAGUAUUUAAAUAACUAUUAUAGUAAUACGAAAAUGCGAGCAGGACUUGAAAUAUGAGCAACAGCCUGAAUUAUUAAGAUAAACCGAUUAAAUUGAAUGCAUUGAAUAGUACAGGCGAAAUAUGCAGUAUUUAGAGGUAAAUAUGGAAACCACGGAAGGGGAGGGCAGGAAGUCAAUGGACAAAAUAAAUCAUGGUUUAUGUUAAGAGCCGUAACAUUUUUUUCUUUGCAAAAAAUUAAUAAAUAAGUGUUGUUGUUGG